CAGCCGCCACGGGAAUACAGAGGGUGCAAGCGUUAAUCGGAAUUACUGGGCGUAAAGCGCGCGUAGGUGGUUUGUUAAGUUGGAUGUGAAAUCCCCGGGCUCAACCUGGGAACUGCAUCCAAAACUGGCAAGCUAGAGUAUGGUAGAGGGUGGUGGAAUUUCCUGUGUAGCGGUGAAAUGCGUAGAUAUAGGAAGGAACACCAGUGGAGAAGGCGACCACCUGGACUGAUACUGACACUGAGGUGCGAAAGCGUGGGGAGCAAACAGGAUUAGAUACCCGCGUAGUCCCUGUCUCUUAUAC
rnacentral:rRNA from 1 species